GACAGAGGAUGCAAGCGUUAUCCGGAAUGAUUGGGCGUAAAGCGUCUGUAGGUGGCUUUUUAAGUCCGCCGUCAAAUCCCAGGGCUCAACCCUGGACAGGCGGUGGAAACUACCAAGCUGGAGUACGGUAGGGGCAGAGGGAAUUUCCGGUGGAGCGGUGAAAUGCGUAGAUAUCGGAAAGGAACACCUGUGGCGAAAGCGGCUCACUGGCCAUUCUGACGCUGAGGCACGAAAGCUAGGG
rnacentral:rRNA from 1 species